UAAUCCAUUGACGAGCACGGGGCUGAUCAAACUCCGGGAGCAACCUGAAUCGAGCAAUGCUGUGAGCCGGGCCCGACGAGUCGAUCGCGGAGCACCGAUCACUACCUCAUAUGUCAUCAGACUCACCCGGAUGUCCUCGAUUGAUUUGCUCGGGAUCGGCUGGUCUCGCCUAGGGCUCUCCUCCCUCUUGCCGGCACUCUCCCCUUCGUCCUCGCUGUGGAGAGAACAACAAUUCUAUAUAAGAAAGGCUUGACUUCUUACGUACUCCGCCAAGAGCACUACAGCCAAGGGCAAAAAACUUCAUCCAUUCUACUCCAUCUACGAAGUUGUCUAAUCGAAGAAGAUUGCACAGUUGUUCCAUUGGAUUCUACAUGACCUUCCAAAUUGGCUCUGGAGCAGAAUUCAAGGAUGUGCAAGGGAAGAGGAUUAUCUCCACCCAGUUAUGCUGAGGAAAGCAAUUCCAACUAAAAAGAAAUGCCAUUAAUUAUUAUUAUAUACUGAUAUAUUUCAUCAGCAUAUUGAUCACUAAAGCAAAUAUGGUAAAUAUU